rnacentral:misc_RNA from 1 species
ACUUGGGUGAGAGUGGUCCUGUAGGCAC